UACGUAGGGACCAAGCGUUGUUCGGAUUUACUGGGCGUAAAGGGCGCGUAGGCGGCAAAUUAAGUCAUCUGUGAAAUCUCCGAGCUUAACUCGGAACGGUCAGGUGAUACUGAUCUGCUAGAGUGCGGAAGGGGCAAUCGGAAUUCUUGGUGUAGCGGUGAAAUGCGUAGAUAUCGAGAGGAACACCUGCGGCGAAGGCGGGUUGCUGGGCUGACACUGACGCUGAGGCGCGAAAGCUAGGGGAGCGAACGGG
rnacentral:rRNA from 1 species